UACGUAGGGAGCAAGCGUUGUUCGGAUUUACUGGGCGUAAAGGGCGCGUAGGCGGCGCGGUAAGUCACUUGUGAAAUCUCUGAGCUUAACUCAGAACGGCCAAGUGAUACUGCAGUGCUAGAGUGCAGAAAGGGCAAUCGGAAUUCUUGGUGUAGCGGUGAAAUGCGUAGAUAUCAAGAGGAACACCUGAGGCGAAGGCGGGUUGCUAGGCUGACACUGACGCUGAGUGCGCGAAAGCCAGGGGAGCAAGCGGG
rnacentral:rRNA from 1 species